UACACUGGAACAGGCAUGAUGGCUUUCUG
rnacentral:piRNA from 1 species